ensembl:lncRNA novel transcript
UCUCAUUUUUCUUUCACUGACUGGAGGCAGAUGAUGAAUUUGAAGCCCUGACAAAGAGAAGGCAAAAUCAGUUUGUGUCCCUGAGUUGCUAAGUGGAGAAGAAACGUCCACCAACCAGGAAACACCUGCCUCCAACUGUUAAGUGAGCAAGAAAUAAACUUCUGUUGUGUUUGAGCUAUUACACAUUUUCUGAUCUAUUUGUCUACAGGUUAAUUUAUGUUUAAAUAUGUUUUAAACUGCCACUGAACUGACUUAGUCACAUAUUUAAACUUUGCAGUAGGUCUGUGAAAUGUGCUUUGUUUCUGGUCAGCAUGGACACCCGCUUUAAUAGUGGCUUCAGAUGAGGCACCUUGUGACAGAGGAGCUCUUCCCCUGCAGCAACCUUGAAGAUGUUGUGGAAGACAAUAGCCAUUCUUACUUCACUCUGAGGAUCACGAUGGCGUGCAAGGGUGUGCCAAGCACAUUGCUAUCUUUGGCCAUUCUCUCUCACAUUAGUACACCUGGAUGUGAAUGGCACGUUAUCUAUACCUUUUCGUCCAAGAAAGUCUUACCAGGAGGCUCAAUGUGAACAAGAGAUUAAAAACAGAGCUGCUCUGCUGGAGGUGGGGUGGGGAGCCUGAAGACUUCUUCAUCUGCCUCUCACCACAUCCCCCCUCCUGGCACCUGAAGAAUUCUGCAGAGACCAGUUUCCAAGGGCUGUGUGGGCAGAGUGUGCAUGUUCAGGCAUGCAUGCCUGUUUGCAGAUGGUAUGGAGAAAAAGGUGAUUGUAUUGUUCAUAAAAAUGUAACUUGCUCAAGUAUACGCCCCCUUUCUUUCUAAAUUACUUGCUUUGAUAUUCUGGGUUCCCUAGAACUUAGAUUGAAAUGUCAUCCAACAACUAUUUGUUUAGGGCUUGCUGAGCUGCUUUCAUACUGUGAGGAUUGAGAAAUAUAUGAAGUAGUCCCUGCCCAAGAAAUUGCAUAAUUUAAUCGCGAGGCCAAGACUGUCAUCUUCCUGAGAGUGACUCCAACAUUCUAGAUUUUCAGUUUUGAUCUUUUGCUUGAACUUUAACUGCCUGUUGGCCUCCUGGACAAUCUCUGCUUGAUUAUCCUACUCUUCGCCUCAAUUCGACAUCUCUAAACCUGAAACUAUGUCCUUUGUCAGGAAACCAAGACGUUUGUAAUAUCCACAUCAGAGUUGUCUGGUAAAGGAGUAAAAACAUGGAGGAGCAGUAAUAAACAGUGGAGAUCAUCAAAUUGACAAAAGUAACAAAAAUAAUUGGGGAUUGCUAAGAGCUACUGUUAAUUAUUUGAAGCCUGUAAUGUAUGAGAGGGAGUAGAUGUCUCCUGGAGUGAACAUAUACCUGCUAUUACCUCAACGACCUUAGUUCCCUGCCUUUCAUCUUGUCAGCAUGUCUAUGUUAAUAUGAUUAUAGUAUUUAAAAACAAUUUUUUAUAUAUAAAUAGCCUUUAAAUUACAAGUCAAUAACUAUAUCUAUAAUGCAGCCAAAUAAAUAGAAAUCUGUUCUAAAAAUGGAGAAAAAACUAACCAUGAUGGACACUCUAAAAGAAGGCACUAUAUAUAAAAAACAGCGUUUAUUACAAUUUCUGGGUAGUGACUGGUAUUUUGUGGAUCCCAUAGAUCAGGCAUGUUCAGCAUGGUAUGGCCAUAGACAUGACUGGUAUUUUCUUUUUUUAUUUUUAUUUAUUUAUUUUUUUGAGAUGGAGUCUCACUCUGUCACCCAGACUGGAGUGCAGUGGCGAGAUCUCAGCUCACUGCAACCUCCACCUCUCGGGUUCAAGUGAUUCUCCUGCCUCAGCCUCCCUGUAACUGGGAUUACAGGUGCCCGCCACUACGCCCUGCUAAUUUUUUGGAUUUUUAGUAGAGACAGCGUUUCACCAUGUUAGCCAGGAUGGUCUUGAUCUCCUGACCUCGUGUUCUGCCAGCCUUGGCCUCCCAAAGUGCUGGGAUUACAGGUGUGAGCCACCACGCCCGGCCCAUGACUGGUAUUUUCAAUAGUAAUUUUGAAUCUGUCUUAUCUGUUUACUUUAAAAACAAACCCUUGCCAAAAAAAUGUGACUUUAUUGUAUUUGAUUUUGCUGUAGAGAAAAAAAACCAAGGGUUGCAGAGUAGCAGACUGUUGCUCAAUGUAAAGGAGAACUCCUAAUAAGAGAGCUGCCCAAAGUCAGACUGGUAGUCUAGGAGGGCAAUGUGUUUCCUUUUCCAAUUCAACGUGACCUGGGAUGAAGCACUGCAUUCAGAGGGAUGUUGAAUUGAAAGUCCUUCAAAGUCCUUCCAACUAAACACUUUAUGAGCAUAUGAAUGUAAGUUCACCAGGAGGUCAGGGAGGCAAGAAACUAAAAUUAGAAGGAGUUUUAGCAGAGGGGUCUUCCUAAUGGAGGAGGUCAUUAGGGCUUGCUUUGAAGGGCUGCUAGGUUUUUUAGAAGGGUUGAGUAAAAGGCAUCAUUUUGGGUGGGAAAAACAUGAUGUCAAAGGUGUGGAAGAGGCUGGUCAGGUGCAGGAGAAGGAAGAGGGCAGUUGAUGCUGGUGGGGGAAAGCUAUAUGAUAGAAAGAGCCCCUGGAGAAAGAGUAGGAUUGAACUGUGUUUGAGGCUAUGGUGAGCUAAGCAAAAACCUGACAGCUGUUCAUGUAUUAUCUGAUAAACCUGACAGUUGCCUAAGGACAUAUGAACUCAGGAGCAGCUCUGAAGUGCAAGGAGGUGAAAGAGCUGUGUGCUGUGUUACAGCUUCUUCUCCAGGCUGAGGAACUGGGUCUUGCCUAACUACAAGGGGAUAGCUGCCAAUCAGAACUUCCAGUAUAUCCAAGGCCGAGUAACCUUCUUUUAGGUGUCUCUCUGCCUUGUCUAUACUGAGAUGCAAGGGCAGCAAGAAAAUCUGUAAACAUCCUAUUAAAGCCAGAACAUGACAUUUUAAGAACUUUCAUUUCACCACAGAGGUGAAAAAAGACUUUCAAAAAUAUCAUAAAGAUCCUUUGCUAGUGAACAAAUAAGUACAGAUCAUUUAUUAAGGAACUGAAACACUGAAAGCGAGCCAGACAUGGAAUUGUUUACAGAAAAAUACCCUUGAAGUUAUUAUCCAUUUUGUAACUACCAUUAUAACUAUAAUUUUAAUAUACAUUAUAUAUCCAAAUUAUAAUACAAAACCAUUACAGGAUGGUUUACAGCAGUGUGCAGCUGGGAGUGACAGUAUAUCCUCUGGACUGAAAAUGACCCAUCUCUGAUGUUACUGGACCCACUUGAGCCCUAGGGACAGAGCUGUGCAUAUUAUGGCAAGUGGCCAAGGAAGUAUCAUGAUGGUCCCAUCAGCAACCCCAAAACUGUGAUGGUUCUACGUAGUUUGCAUAUUUCUAUGUUUCGGCAUUAUUGAGUUUCAACUGUAUAAAUCUGUAUUUUCAUUGUAUUACUUAAUGAGUACUUAAUGAAAAGGGGAAAAAAGCAAAGAAUACAUUCAGAAAACAGUAGAACAAAUUAUGUUUCAAUCAAUUUGUACUUUUGUAAUAAAGAGACCUCAAAUCCUGAAAUAUUAACAUACAACAGGCGAAGUUCCAAACAUUCAUCUACUGUCAUCCACUUGUCUACGUGUGAGGAUAACACUGGUUGUGAGCACAGAGGACUAAUCAUAAAACUCAUCAUUUGGGUAAUGAGACCUUUAGUAGAAUAAGAUAACACUUCAGAUUUAUUCUGAAAAAGACAGAAGACUUUUUGGCUGGUGAUACCCAGUGUUGUUUCUAUGAUAUUACCUCCCACUGUAGACUAUCACGCCUCUCCUUGGAUCCAACCAUAUUUUUGGAUUGACCUAUAAUUGACUUCGGAUUUAUUUCAAAUAA